AGCUGGAAUUGCUAGUAAUGGCAGGUCAGCAUACUGCCGUGAAUACGUUCCCGGGCCUUGUACACACCGCCCGUCACACCAUGAGAGUUGGAGAUACCCGAAGCCUAUGAGCUUAACUUUUAGAGGCAGUAGUCGAAGGUAGAAUCAAUGAUUGGGGUGAAGUCGUAACAAGGUACC
rnacentral:rRNA from 1 species